rnacentral:lncRNA from 1 species
GGUUAAGGGUAUGGCAGGAGUUUGAGUGUUUGGGUUAAGAGUUUUUUUACGACUUCUGGUCAUUAACAAUUCAGGCUCUAAAAGAGGGAGCCUAGAACCUCUGAGACUUAAAGCGCUCAAGACUUAAUUGAUUUUGGAAGCUUGUACUCUUCAUUAAUGUUAUUGCUUAAAUACAAAAAGGAAGUAUAACUGCUUCCUACAUUAAAGGAGCACUACUUCAACAUGGAGGAACACCCUCCUCAACUAACA